rnacentral:rRNA from 1 species
CAUCUGUGAGCAGGAACAAACAGGGAUUGCCUCAGUAACGGCGAGUGAAGCGGCAAAAGCUCAAAUUUGAAAUCUGGCCUUCUCAGGGUCCGAGUUGUAAUUUGUAGAAGAUGCUUCGGGUGUGGUUCCGGUCUAAGUUCCUUGGAACAGGACGUCAUAGAGGGUGAGAAUCCCGUAUGUGACUGGGUACCUACGCUCAUGUGAAGCUCUUUCGACGAGUCGAGUUGUUUGGGAAUGCAGCUCUAAAUGGGUGGUAUAUUUCAUCUAAAGCUAAAUAUUGGCCAGAGACCGAUAGCGCACAAGUAGAGUGAUCGAAAGAUGAAAAGCACUUUGGAAAGAGAGUUAAACAGUACGUGAAAUUGUUGAAAGGGAAGCGCUUGCAAUCAGACUUGCACCUGGUGUUCAGCGGGGUUUCGUGCCCCGUGUACUUCAUCAGGUUCAGGCCAGCAUCGGUUUGGGUGGUUAGAUAAAGGCCUUGAGAAUGUGGCCCUCUUCGGGGGGUGUUAUAGCUCUCGGUGCAAUGUAGCCUACCUGGACCGAGGACCGCGCUUCGGCUAGGAUGCUGGCGUAAUGGUUGUAAGCGACCCGUCUUGAAACACGGACCAAGGAGUUGAAUAUCUAUGCGAGUGUUUGGGUGUUAAACCCCUACGCGUAAUGAAAGUGAACGGAGGUGAGAACCCUUUAGGGUGCAUCAUCGACCGAUCCUGAUGUCUUCGGAUGGAUUUGAGUAAGAGCAUAGCUAUUCUGACCCGAAAGAUGGUGAUCUAUACGUGAAUAGGGUGAAGCCAGAGGAAACUCUGGUGGAGGCUCGCAGCGGUUCUGACGUGCAAAUCGAUCGUCAAAUUUGCGUAUAGGGGCGAAAGACUAAUCGAACCAUCUAGUAGCUGGUUCCUGCCAUUUUCCCCCCC